CAGGACGUCAAAGAGAUGUACAAAUUACAGAUUGAUCAUCUCCUGGCUAAGUAGUGGACACUGAUUGGACCGCUGAAUGAAGACGACACGCCAUUCUGUGAUAGAAUGGACAAUGAUGAAGUCCCUGGUAGAUCCGACAUGAGAGAUUUCUCAUUUAAUCAGAAACUAUACAAGGUAACUGGUACUACAAAGGCAGGGACCCAAGUAUGCAUUGUAUUGUCAAUAAAUUUCUUGAAUUUUAUUUAAACUGUGUAACUUUUAUUUAAUAUUUCUGACAAUUUUAUUGAAAUAUGGAUAAAAAGUUUAUAUAUUUGUCAUUUAUAAUAUGUUGAAAUCUGUUGGUGACAAAAGCAUAUACAGUCAAAAUUUGCUUAGUAUCUUGAACCUGAUGGGGCUUAGGAAAAACUUCGAGAUAUCCAAUGAUUCAAAAUAUCAAGUGUAAAAUACUUAAAGAAUAUGUAAUUGGGACUUCCACAUCACUUCAACAUAUCCGUGAUAUUUGAGAUAUGGUAUUUCUAGAUACCAAAGUUCAACUGUAUAUGUUUAGCAUAUUUCUUAAUUUAUUUUGUUUUGUUUUUGGAAUAAUAUUAAAAUGUUUUAAGCAGUGUGUAGAACCCCUUGAAUUAAAAAAAUCAAAAUCAAUGUAAUAUAACCUUUAAAUGGGAUUACAUAGUGAAAAGUCAUGAUAGUGGUACUUUCUGAUCACGUGUGUUAUAUGGAUGUAGAUAAUGAAUGUAAUACAAAGGGCUUUCAGAGUGUGGGAGAAAAACUUAAUAUAUUGUGGUGUUAUAAAUGUGUAUUUAUUAUAAAAUAAGAUUGCAUAAGCUCAGAGCUGAGGAAUUCAGAGUGAAUGCUUCAUAUUAGUGUGUCUCAUUGUGUAUGUUCUCAUUUCCAUGUUUACUCACUUGUUGAGCAUAUAAUGAUAUAUAUGUUUCUGAGUCAAAUACUUUGCUUUGAAGGUAUACCUGUAUAUAAUAUGGUAUGUACAGUCAAUGUGAAUUUUAUUUUAAAACCUGAUAUGUUGAAACUUACAGUAUUGUAUAUUCAUAAAUAAU